rnacentral:rRNA from 2 species
CCUCUGAACUCUAGAGAUAGAGCGUUCCCCUUCGGGGGACAGAGUGACAGGUGGUGCAUGGUUGUCGUCAGCUCGUGUCGUGAGAUGUUGGGUUAAGUCCCGCAACGAGCGCAACCCUUGAUCUUAGUUGCCAGCAUUUAGUUGGGCACUCUAAGGUGACUGCCGGUGACAAACCGGAGGAAGGUGGGGAUGACGUCAAAUCAUCAUGCCCCUUAUGACCUGGGCUACACACGUGCUACAAUGGAUGGUACAAAGGGCUGCAAGACCGCGAGGUCAAGCCAAUCCCAUAAAACCAUUCUCAGUUCGGAUUGUAGGCUGCAACUCGCCUACAUGAAGCUGGAAUCGCUAGUAAUCGCGGAUCAGCAUGCCGCGGUGAAUACGUUCCCGGGUCUUGUACACACGCA